rnacentral:misc_RNA from 1 species
AUGAUGCCGAGAGCGUGACGACGUUCUCCCAUUUUUCCUCAGUCGGUAAAGCCCUCUCGGUGGCGUCGGUCCAUUUGUUGUCAUUAUCUGGUGGUUGGGUUAGGCAAUAAUACUGUUCUCGGACACACAGGAUGAAGGUAAAAGCGUGCAAAAUGUCCGGAGAUAUCAGCCUGGCGUGCUCCACACUCUCCAAAAUGCUGCUCCACGCUGCCCGCUACCCCCAGUCUUCUGUGAGUGGGGUGGUGCUGGCCCAGGCAAGAGGGGGGGACACCACCUCCAACACUGUGGUCCUGGUCGAUGCCGUUCCUCUCUUCCACUUACAACUCAGUCUGGCCCCCAUGCUAGAGGUGGCACUCACUCAGAUUGAACAGCGAUAUAAAUCAGAAGGGUUAAUAAUAGCCGGUUACUACCAAGCCAAUGAACAUAUAAGAGACAAUGUUCCAGACUUCGUGGCCUUGAAAAUAGCGGAGAAGAUCGCGGAAAACAACAACGACUCCUGCCUGAUAAUGAUUGACAACAAAAGAAUGUGUCUGAACCUCAUGUCAGCUCCAGUAAUUGUUUCACAGUUGACAUCAGAAGGAAAGUGGAAGAGCAAAGAGAAGGCGAGCAAGUUGUUUCUCUAUGUGUGUGAGCCAGAGCCGGUACAUCCCCUUUAAUGUAUUUUGUGUUUGAUCAGAUAUUCUGCAGAGCUGGGACAUAAUACUUCCUGUCACCUGUGGCUCCACUUUAUUCUCCUUCAUCAUUUAAAUAAGAGUGCUGCUGCAGCUCAUAAACAUCCAUCCUGCUGUUCUCUGACUAUGGUGAUGACCUCAGAGAAGUUGGGGCGUCCACUUGGCUCUUCGUCCCAGCAUGGACGGAUCAGCAUCAAGUAUAUGUUUGGUGGACAAGGAGGCUUCAGGUUCAAACGUUUCCCAUUCUUCAGUAACUGUAAUGAAUUAUAAGCUAAUUCUAAACUGUA